AUACGGAGGAUCCGAGCGUUAUCCGGAUUUAUUGGGUUUAAAGGGAGCGUAGGCGGACGCUUAAGUCAGUUGUGAAAGUUUGCGGCUCAACCGUAAAAUUGCAGUUGAUACUGGGUGUCUUGAGUACAGUAGAGGCAGGCGGAAUUCGUGGUGGAGCGGGGAAAUGCUUAGAUAUCACGAAGAACUCCGAUUGCGAAGGCAGCCUGCUGGACUGUAACUGACGCUGAUGCUCGAAAGUGUGGGUAUCAAACAGGAUUAGAUACCCUGGUAGUCCACACAGUAAACGAUGAAUACUCGCUGUUUGCGAUAUACAGUAAGCGGCCAAGCGAAAGCGUUAAGUAUUCCACCUGGGGAGUACGCCGGCAACGGUGAAACUCAAAGGAAUCGACGGGG
rnacentral:rRNA from 1 species